GACGAACGCUGGCGGCGUGCCUAAUACAUGCAAGUAGAACGCUGAAGGAGGAGCUUGCUUCUCUGGAUGAGUUGCGAACGGGUGAGUAACGCGUAGGUAACCUGCCUGGUAGCGGGGGAUAACUAUUGGAAACGAUAGCUAAUACCGCAUAAGAGUAGAUGUUGCAUGACAUUUGCUUAAAAGGUGCAAUUGCAUCACUACCAGAUGGACCUGCGUUGUAUUAGCUAGUUGGUGGGGUAACGGCUCACCAAGGCGACGAUACAUAGCCGACCUGAGAGGGUGAGCGGCCACACUGGGACUGAGACACGGCCCAGACUCCUACGGGAGGCAGCAGUAGGGAAUCUUCGGCAAUGGACGGAAGGCUGACCGAGCAACGCCGCGUGAGUGAAGAAGGUUUUCGGAUCGUAAAGCUCUGUUGUAAGAGAAGAACGAGUGUGAGAGUGGAAAGUUCACACUGUGACGGUAUCUUACCAGAAAGGGACGGCUAACUACGUG
rnacentral:rRNA from 1 species